UGAAGAGGGAAACAACCCAGACCGCCAGCUAAGGUCCCAAAGUCAUGGUUAAGUGGGAAACGAUGUGGGAAGGCACAGACAGCCAGGAUGUUGGCUUAGAAGCAGCCAUCAUUUAAAGAAAGCGUAAUAGCUCACUGGUCGAGUCGGCCUGCGCGGAAGAUGUAACGGGGCUAAACCAUGCACCGAAGCUGCGGCAGCGACACUAUGUGUUGUUGGGUAGGGGAGCG
rnacentral:rRNA from 1 species